CAAACUUGGAAAAACAUCCGAAAGAUUUCUUUUUAAGCAGCUGGAUUCUCUAUGGCUCCUUGACAGCGAUGGCAGUUUCACACUGAGCCUGCAUGAAGAUGAGCUGUUCACACUCACCACUCUCACCACUGGUCGCAAAGGCAGCUACCCGCUUCCUCCAAAAUCCCAGCCCUUCCCAAGUACCUAUAAGGAUGAUUUCAAUGUUGGACCAAUCUGACUAUAAAGUGUGAUGUAUACAUAGAGACCCCUGACACAGGAGGUGUGUUCAUUGCAGGAAGAGUAAAUAAAGGUGGUAUUUUGAUUAGAAGUGCCAGAGGAAUUUUCUUCUGGAUUUUUGCAAAUGGAUCUUACAGGGUUACAGGUGAUUUAGCUGGAUGGAUUAUAUAUGCUUUAGGACGUGUUGAAGUUACAGCAAAAAAAUGGUAUACACUCACGUUAACUAUUAAGGGUCAUUUCACCUCUGGCAUGCUGAAUGACAAGUCUCUGUGGACAGACAUCCCUGUGAAUUUUCCAAAGAAUGGCUGGGCUGCAAUUGGAACUCACUCCUUUGAAUU
rnacentral:lncRNA from 1 species